rnacentral:rRNA from 1 species
GAUGAACGCUGGCGGCGUGCCUAAUACAUGCAAGUCGAGCGAACAGACGAGGAGCUUGCUCCUCUGACGUUAGCGGCGGACGGGUGAGUAACACGUGGAUAACCUACCUAUAAGACUGGGAUAACUUCGGGAAACCGGAGCUAAUACCGGAUAAUAUAUUGAACCGCAUGGUUCAAUAGUGAAAGACGGUUUUGCUGUCACUUAUAGAUGGAUCCGCGCCGCAUUAGCUAGUUGGUAAGGUAACGGCUUACCAAGGCAACGAUGCGUAGCCGACCUGAGAGGGGGAAACGGCCCACAGGGAACGAGACAAGGGCCAGAAUACCAAGGGGGGGAAACAGUGGGAAACUUUCGGCAAGGGGGAAAGCCCGAAGGGGAAAACGCCCGGGAGGGAAGAAGGGUUUUGGAAUUUAAAAACUUUUUUAUAGGGAAAAAAAAAAGGGGAAAGAAACAUGGAAGGUUUGAACGGUACUAAAUAAAAAACCAAGGCCAAACUACGG